rnacentral:rRNA from 1 species
GCUGGCGGCGCGCUUACACAUGCAAGUCGCACGAGAAAGGGAGCAAUCCCAAGUAAAGUGGCGUACGGGUGAGUAACACGUGGAUCAUCUACCUCUUGGUGGGGAAUACCCCCGGGAAACUGGGGACAAUUCCGCAUAAGUUCGUGAGAAGAAAGCCGAAAGGCGCCGGGAGAGGAGUCCGCGGCUGAUUAGCAGGUUGGCGGGGUAAAGGCCCACCAAGGCGAAGAUCGGUAGCCGGCCUGAGAGGGCACACGGCCACACUGGCACUGAAACACGGGCCAGACUCCUACGGGAGGCAGCAGUGGGGAAUCUUGCACAAUGGGGGAAACCCUGAUGCAGCGACGCCGCGUGAGCGAUGAAGCCCUUCGGGGUGUAAAGCUCUUUCGACGGGAACGAUUAUGACGGUACCCGAAGAAGAAGCUGCGGCUAACUACGUGCCAGCAGCCGCGGUAAUACGUANGCAGCAAGCGUUGUUCGGAAUUACUGGGCGUAAAGAGUGUGU